UACGUAGGGGGCGAGCGUUGUCCGGAGUUACUGGGCGUAAAGCGCUUGUAGGCGGUCCACCAAGUUUGGGGUGACAGUUGCCGACUUAAUCGGCGAAGUGCCUCAAAGACUGGCGGACUUGAGGGCCACAGAGGGACAUGGAACUCCAGGUGUAGUGGUGAAAUGCGUAGAUAUCUGGAAGAACACCAAAGGCGAAGGCAGUGUCCUGGGUGGUCGCUGACGCUGAGAGGCGAAAGCCAGGGGAGCGAACGGG
rnacentral:rRNA from 1 species